GAUGAUGAUGAUGACAAUAAUAAUAAUGAUGACAAUAAUAAUAAUUAUGAUUAAUAAUAAUAAUAAUAAUAAUAAUAAUAAUAAUAAUAAUAAUAAUAAUAAUGUGGGGGAGAGGGCUGGGGAAGGGAAACCUGGCAUUGGUUACAGAAACAUGACUCAGCUUCUGUUCAGUAAGCCCUCUGUUCAAGCGCAUUACACAACAAAUUUAGAAGGGGCUUUCAUACUUUUUGCAUGGCUUCUCCACUCUGAUUUCCUGUUUACAGCAGGCUAGGAAAAUAACUUGUCAGAAUAGCUGGAGAGCUGCACCCGGACUGCAGGGGAGCUCUUGCCAGAGCAAGUUUUGCUUGAGGAUUUAGAUCCAGAGAUGUCCUGGCAUUGUCCCAACCUUUAACAAUAAACACAAUAGUUUCACUCCAGCAAUAGUUGUAUGUUCUGGUAUGCACACACCAGCUGUGUUCCUGCUCCUACAGUCCAAGUGUUUUCCCAGACAGAAUACUUCAUAAAAUGAAAAUAGGUUUGUGCUAUUUACAAGGCCUAUUAUUUUUAAUGCGUCUUUUUCUUUUCUAAUAUAUUUCCUUAUUUCUAAAUUAAACUCAUCAAAACUAUUAAUUUAAGAAUGUAGCUUUUAGAAAUUUUUCAAACAUAUGGUUUAUAAAGGAAAAAAGAGUGUGAAAAUAUAUGUGCAGGCUUUCUUUGCAAUUUAUUAAGCAAAAAUUACCAAUACUGGCCAUACCAUUAGAAAGCACAUAAUAAAAUUAAGGAAAAUGCGAAUCUGUCAAGUUUACCUCCAAAAUUUCCAUUACACAUACCAAAGAAGUUGAAAUGGUUAGUAGGUAUAAGAACCUCUGCAAUAACAGAUUAAUCCAUUGAUUCUGUUUUCAGUGUUUAUCCAAGUGAUGUGUACAUAUAUAAACCUAGGAAACUAGGAAACUUAACAUGCAGUCUUUUAAUCUGACUUCUAAAACCUGUGUUCUAUCCAGUUACCAUCAACAGGCAUUUUAAAAAUAUAAAAUAAUAUUUUUAAAAAUCUAUUUUUAAAUAGAUUAAAUAUAAAUAAAAAUCUACAUAAAAUAAAGUGUAGAACUAAUUUAUUUUAUAAAGAAAUAAGUUUUCGUUUUAAGCUUUCAGAGGGUUGUUUAUAAUAUUCAUAAAAAUAAAUUGCUGGUGUCUUUUUUAUUUGCUUGAAAAAUAUUUUGUUUUGUAAGCUUAAAAUGAUUUUUUUUUUCCUGUCAAGUUACUUGACGUAGUGCUUUAGACUAGAAUAACUGGAAUGUGUUCCUGAUUAUAGCAAUUGCCUAGUCUUCCAUUACUUAAAAGGAAGCACAAGGACUUGAAAAGCCAUGUUGAAGGAAAUAAUUUGGGUAGCUCUCGCUAGCAAAGAAUCCCUUCCCAAGUGCUCCUUGUGUGUUUCAUUCACAUGAAACCUCAUUCAAAUCCAGAACUAUCUGAGGCUUUACUUAACACUUUAUGGUCAUGCUGUAAGAUAUGGGAGAUGGAAUGUGGAAUAUAUUGCUAUUUAAAGCAUGCACAGCUUUGGAAGCCUGAAGACUACUGAGAUCAUAGUGAAAAAAGUAGAGAAGGUAAAGGUGAGAAAGUGUUCUUCAAAAUUCUUAAUAUAUUAUGAAGAGAAAAUUGAGAUCACUAAGAUGGUUUUUAAGUCUCCUGCAUGCUAUGACUGUCAUGGCAGAAGAAUUACUCUGGAUUCACAAGCAAAAAUGUAUCCUUAGCAGAAAUUAUCAAAGUGAAGCUUUUGGUAGCUGUUUGACGUAGCUUAUGGCUGCAGCAGUUAGAUUGGGUAAUGACAUUUAAACUGCAUCUGGCUAUAAGUGUUGCUUAUAAGUGCUUCAAAGACACUGGUCACCUGGAGCAAACUCAGAGAGCAAAUUAUAGAUUUUGAGUUCUAGCUUGUCCCUAUUUGAUUCCAGUGCACACAGAAUCCUCCCAGUAAAAGAGACUUAGGCAAUUUUUUUUUGUUGAAAAUUGGGUUCCCAAUGAAUACCAUAAAUAUUGCUUAGUUCUUAGAGUUCUUCUCUAAGAAGAGAGAAGAAGGAAGGAAUCAAAGAAAAAAAUCCAAGAAGGAAUCAAAGGAAAAGAUGGGCACCAAUGUGGCCCUAUUAAAUGGAAGACUACAACUAUAGUUUUUGUUAGGUUAAAAAGGUGAAGUCAUAUUUGUUGUAAGAGUUAACUGUAGUUAAACUUUCCUCAUGCAGACAUUGAGAGGUAUUAGGAUGGAACUCUCUUUUUCAUGCAUGGGCAGUACACACUCCACUCAUGGCUCCAAAGAGAAGGGCAUCAAAACAUUGUAUUAGAAACACAAUAAGGUCCUUGCAAGUUGUAAGAUUUAGUUGUCAUCUGUUUUAUGACCACUGUUUUAGGUAACUCAACAGGAAAUUGAAGCACUUUUUAGAAAACAUGUUACAUGUACACAGGGCAUACUGGAGACUUGCUUUCCUUGCUCCAGCAACCUCCUCUUAAGUAAACAGAGAAGGAAUAUUUCUGUGCACAGCAGUGUCUGAGGCUUGCAGGAAAAACCUGUCUUCAAAUCCUCAGUGUUGCCUAUGCCUUAGCUGCAUUAAAUGACCUGUUUUUCUCUAUCCAAGUGCUAAGCUGGGGGUGGUGGACACCACUGGUGUCCUUCCAGAGUGACAGGACAAAUAGCUCAUUGGUGAGAGCAUCAGUCACUUUAGAGAGCAAUGGAAACUAGAGCAGUGUCUAUUAGGAGACAAUGUGGGUGUCAGAAAACUGAGCACAGGCUGUCUGGUAAGACUUUCAGCUUUCUGGAACACACAGGGACUUACAGGACAAAACCGUAUAUAGUAUAUUUUUCAGUAAUUGCAAAGUAUGUUUUGCUGAAAGAAAAAAUUCUCUUAAUGUUACCUAAUAUGUUACUAACAAAUCAGAGAAGUUCCUCUGAACCUGUCCGAGUCUCUGCAAAAUUAAUCUGUGGGCUCAAUGACAUAACCAUUGUGCGGUCAGCCUGCCAUCUAUUAGAUAUGGAGAACAGUUGCAAGUGCGCCAAUUGUACUAUGCUGGAUCUGUGAAGAUGCAAGCCCAGUGGAGCAUUCUGCAGUUUUGGUUGCAGAACUCUAAGGCUUGGGAUAAAGAAAUUAUGAAGCUAAACACAAGAAUGCACUCAUAUAGUUUAUCCUUAGUAAGUUGCAUGAGAUAGGUAGUAUCCCUUAAUUUUUUCAGUGUACCUACUGUAUUAGAUGCUUUGUUCCUUUCACUUCAGAAGUAAGAGUUUAAAUUUCAUAACUGCAUUCAUAUAAAACUUCUAGCAAUUUCCUUCUCAUUGUUCUAUGGAAGUGAUAUUGGGAAGGCUGAUGCCACAAUUGAAUGACUGUUCUCCAUUAUUUAAGAGAGAAGUUUGCCCUUAGAACCUUUCCUCUAGAAAGAAUGAAAAGAAAAGGAGUUUUUGAAAUACUGUUUUGAUGAAGUGAGAGAAAUAUAUGUCAAUUUUCUGAUAAAUAUAACAGUGCCUGAAAAAAGAUACCUAAUUAAAAAUCAUUAUAUUUAUGCUUCUCUGUAUCCUAAUCACAAGCUGACGAGUUGAAAGACAUCACCAGAAUGUCAUAAUUGCCAGAUUCUGCAUCUGGAUCUUUGAGCUAUUUGACAGACACGUAGCAUACAAAAUAUCUAGGCAAGUUGCCAGUGACUGUUUAGAUGUUGGUGCAGGGGAACAUAUAAUGUUCUUCACAUAUCUGUGUCCAGUCAUUCCCUCAGAAUUGUCUUUUUCUGCUUGUCUUUGUUUGUGUUGACCUUGUGUGGAUUGAGGCAAAUACUCCUCUAUUAGUUUUUUUCCAUAAAAGGAAGGUGACUGGGAAGGCUGAAAAUUUAUUUUUCUGCAGGUUUAGUGAUGCAGCAGUCAUGAAUCAGAGCUAGAUGAACUCAGAGACAAAAGCAAUUAAAAUCCAUGAAGUACAAGGAAAUCAACAGAAUGGAAGAAAUUCCAUCCUUUUAAUUCAGUAAACAUUGUCAGUGAGCCACAAAUCCUACUUUUGAUGAUAAUUUUCGUCUUUUCUAUGUACUGUGUUUAUGUAAUAUAAUCCCCUCAAAAAGAAAGAAAGAAAGAACAAAAGUUAGGUAUAUGUACUAUAAUGUAGAAGCAAAUUGUACAUUCAUUAAAUUAUUUGUACAGAACUGAGCUUGUCAUAAUCCAUAUAAGUGCACAAGAUGUGAAAAACUGAGCCUACUAUUUCUAUUUCUUUAAUAAGACCAGUUGCUUAUAUACUAUUUAUUUAAAUAAUUGCAACCAUCUUCUUCCCCCACCCUUGCUUUUUCCUUUUGGAGAGAAACAACUCCUAGAAAUAACUAGUGUCAGCUGUGAAUUCUGGAGGAGAAGCCAAGAAUAUAAAACCCGCGCAUGUGUGGACAGAUCUGACCCUCAGUGGGAACAUGGUGACACGGUCUCUUUUCCCCGCCCGGGGCAGCCUGCUGUCGGCAGCACCUUUUAGAGACAGGAGCCAAGGAACUUUUAGACCAGGAGCCAAGGGACUGAUUUUCCCUGCAGCUGCUCCUCAGAGUCAGACAGCCUUUGCUGAGGAUGAGGCUGCACUUUCGCUAUCCCUGCUUGGAGAGGAUGGGCCUGGAUCCUGCUGAUGAGACUCAGUGUUCCCACAGCACUGCUAUUGAGGUGGUUGCCCAUGUUUGCAUUGCUGGAGUGUUCUGUGCUCACCCACAACAUUCAAAUGUUGCUGAGUGACAUAGGGCUAAACUUAAAGCAAACAGAUCAUACCUGUUAGCUCUGAGGAAAUUAAGUAGGGGCACCACAGCACGUUUUCUUGCUAUAUCAUUCUGGCUAUGUCCAUGGCAUACAUUGCUUCCACUGACAAAUCCCAGUAACUUUUAGUUUUCAGCAUGCUCCACUGCUCUUAGGUUUUUCCACUCUCUGUCUUGCAACAAUGCUAGCCUUAAGGCUUCUUGGGCGUCUGCGUUGCAAUUUAUGAAAGUGAAACUUUUUAAAGGUCACAAGAGUGCUUGCUCCUUCUGUCAACAACUUGCCUUGCAAGAGGGCUGGAAAAAAGUGUUUGGCUCAAUUCCUGGGUACAAUCCAGAGCACCACAGAAUAAUCCAGUAACAGCAUUUUGAAACCCCUUUUUAAUACUGUCACCAUGUUUGGAAAGAUCUAUGGGCUGCAGAAAAAAAAAAACCUUCUUAUAAAGCUGGAAAACAAAACAGCACGUCCAAGUCUAAACUGUCCUUGCCUGAACUGGACAGAUCUCUGUUUUGUGUAAUCAGUCAAUAGAUCUCUGGAUCACAUAAAUCAAAGCUGUUCCUUUACCCACAGCCCCUUUUGUCCAGGUCUGCCUGUGUUUGGGGCUGUGGAUGUCAUGCGCAUGGACUGACACAGGUAAUGGAGGUAGAUGCAUGUUGAUGGGGAGUUUGCUCUGUCAGAGGUUCCUGAAGGGCUUCUCACUGCUUUCAGCAAGGGACUUGCCUGUUGCAAUGCACUUAAAAAAUUCAGAUUGCGCUAGUGAGCUAAAAAUACCUGUGUGCUCAUCAGAGGUGAGAUGUCUGUCUUCUUUCUUGGUGCUGCUUGGACACUCUGGAUAGAGGGAAUAGUUGCCAGUUGCAAAAUUUGGCUUUCUUCCUUCCCCCUUCACUGCUCUUUAAUUGUAAUUACAGCAACUUUUUGUCCCUUUCAGAUCUGCUCACUUUGAGCGAAGGGUAAAAGAAUGAUUUGUUGGAGUAUUUUGUAUUUAUCAACUAGUUGCCAAGAGAAUAAGGUUUAGCACAGCAGAGCUUGCCCUUCGCAAGAGCAAAUAAAACAUGCUGCUUGUACUCUGUUUCAACCCUAACUACGCUGUCAGGUGUAACAUUUCUUGUUUCUUCUGGUUGUGCCAGAAACCUAGUUAGUAUUCAGUCAUGCAGUCAUAGAAAAGUACCAAAUAUAUGCCAAAUAAAUUAAUGUAAUUUAAAUUUACUUUCUAACUGCAUAUGGGAAGCAAAAAAAUAUAAGAACAAAUGUAGUAUAGCCUCCAUUAGAACAGUGUUUUGCUAUGUUAGCUACAUGAAAAUGCUGCUUAUAAAGCUUUUUAAAGAUUAAUUUGUUUGUGAUUUGUAGUAGUUUGAUUUUUUGGAGGUUUUUUUGGGGCGGAAGGGUAACUGUGAGACAGAGGUAGGAUCUGUUAUCUCCCAGGUAAAAAGAUACAAGUUCACUGCAGUGCACUCUAAUAUUAGUGGCUCCUCUGAAUGCUUUUAACCUGUGAUAAAAUCACCUUCAAGGUAAGUCAAUUUGCAUUCAUUGUGAGAUAAUUCAUGAUAAUAAUGCUGAAACACCUUAAAUAUUUCCCAUAUUGCAACUGCUUCUUUAGUCACUCAUACCAUGAAUAAAAUCAGUUUUAUACAAGGAAUUCAAAAGUCUAUCUAGUCAAUACUCCUAGGAUGUUGUUCCAUAAAAUAUGAUUGGGGGAGAAAGACUAUAGUGUAUUUUCAAACUUAUUCUGAGAAGGUAUUUUAUGUCAAAUAGCUGGAUGAAAUGGGUUUUCUUUGAGGAAAUACAGGCUUAUAUGAGGCUUUAUGGUAGCGUAAGUUAUAUGCACAGAAAAGAAGUGGGACAUUUUGAAGCAUUAAAAAGUUUGAAUAAAAUAUAGGAAGAGGAAGACAGCAAUUAAGACAACUUAUUAAGAGAAGAUUAUUACUUCCUUUGAAUUACUUUGAACUAUGAGGGGAAAAAGAGGGAAAUCAGAAAAAAAAAAAAAGUAGAAGUUUUGUGGCUUUACAUUUUAAUUAAUUUACAUUGUUUUUCUUCUGCACAGGCCAGGUAUUGUUUUCUUCCUUUGUUUGGGAGGUCAGUUUUACAUGUUACAACUGAAGAACUGCUUUGUUACUUUAGAGCUGUGCGACUCUGUCUCCAUAAACAAUGUUGAUGGACUAAAACAUAAUGACCAACAGUAAAACUGUCUUUCCUGUCUUAUCCUGUUAAAUGAUAGGCUAGGGGAUCAUUUCGUUUAAUAUAUAUGUGAUAAUUAUAUAGCUCUAAAAUAUUGCUGCAGGCUUCUCUUUGUUUGUAUUGCAUAUUUAAUACUGAAAUUUUUUUUUUAAUUAGAGCUGCAUUUGUUAUCAUGAUCUAUUUUCCUGGCAUUCUUAACUAGGAAAAAUGGGCUACUUACAAAAGAAAUGGACCAGUUUCAACAGACUUCAACUGACUUAGGGUAGACACCCCAAGCAAGAGUGUAAAUAAUAAAAAAGCAAUUUAUUAAUCAGAAGCCAUUACCUGCUGAAUACCUGACACCUUUUACAGAAGGUAUUCUUAAAUUCCGUUUCUUAGCUGAUGGGCAAUGAUGACAGCCUUGAGUAUUGAUCAUCUGCAGUAGGGAGUUUUCAUUUUAAUUCAAGGCCGUCCAAUCACAGCAAGGCCUUUUUUAGCUCUGGGAAAUUGCAUUAAUUUCCAGAUAAAUAAUAACCAGGUUUUAAAAUAAUUUUCCCCUCCUAUGCCCCAACCUACUAUUCAGCUGAAAGCAAAAGUAUCAUAUCUCCUUUGAGAAAGACUGAAUGGCAUCACAUUCAUCAGUUGACUUUAGAAAUAAUACUUACUACAUCAAUAAACAGGUAACAGGUUGUGGCCUCACCAUUACAAAUUACAUUUGAUGGAGAGUUGGUGAGUCAAAGACAUGUUUUAGCCUGGAAAGACUUGUGAUGGAAGGUGAGAUUCUUGAUAGUGACAUACGGGAGCAAGAGGAAUGCAUUUGUGGCUUGGUUAUUCCCUCAGUGCCCCAGCAGAAGAUCAUGCAGGGAGGUGCUCAUGCUAGAUGGAAUGCACUGUCUUAGAGAGAGAGGUGAGUUUUUCCUGUGUAAAACACAGGAGAAGUAUCACAUAGUGCCAGGCUAACUUUCUGGAUGUGUUUUUUAAUAUUGUAAUUGUACAUUCCUCUCCCCCUUAAAAUACAUCUAAAUAAUUCAAUUUUUAUGUUAUAUUUAGCACUCUCCCCUUCUCUGAUCCAGGUAAUUGUCUUUCAUCCAAGUUAUGUCAAACAUCUCAGGCAAGGUGCCUGAAGCAAACUCAACAGGCAGUGUCCUUCUGAACUCUGAAUCCCCCAUUAGAAGCUGUACUAGGUGAAAGGUGCACUAUUCAACUUGGAUUUCGUAACAGCACUUGGACUCUACUCAGAAGCUACUGCUCUGUCAUAAUAUCCACUAGGUAGGGAGAUCCAGCUCUAGAAAUAGCAUGCUGUAUCCAGGUGGAGUUCCAGGAGUGAAUGACUGCUGGGAGAAGAUAUAGGCUAAUUUUCUGCUAUUUCAAGGAUAUGAUCUGGAGGUCAAGGUGGAAUGUGCUUGACAAUGUGCCUUUGCAAGUGACUUUCACUAGUAUCAUCAAAAUCCAGGAGCUAAAAUCCACAGGAAUGGUCAUGUAGUGCAAAUGCUGGUAAGUCUUAAUGUGUCUGUUGAUCUCUGAAGGGGGACUCCACUCAAAAUCCACAAUAUGUGGGACAUCUUGCCUCUGUGUCCCCAGGAACAGCCAUCUUCCUGCAGCACUAGCCUAUGAAGAAUCUCUGCUGGUCAUUCGUCUCUCUGCAACAGUUGCCCAUAGCUGUGUACCAUAGUUGCAGGAAUUGGCUCAGAUCAGUAGCAUCAGCCCAAGGAUAUAUGUUUUCCUGUGGAAAUGCAUUGCUGUGUCACUCCCAGUUUCACAAACUACUUCAGGAGACCCUUCUUCACUGUGGUAGCUGGACUUUGUAGCUGUGCUGUGGAAAGGGUAUGUGGUAUCAUGCUCAGCAUAUGGAGGUGGGGGAAGAAGGAAGUGGGAGAACAUUCAGUGAUGGAGUUUGUCUUCCGAAGUCACCAUUAAGGCAUGAUGGAGUUCUGUCUUCCUGGAGAUGCUUGAACCCAAGCCUGUCUACUGGAAAUGGGGAAUGAAUUCCUUGGUUUGCUUUGCGUCUGUGGCUUUUUCUUUAUUAAACUGUCUUUAUCUCAA